rnacentral:tRNA from 1 species
GUAGCUCAGUUGGUUAGAGCAGGGGACUCAUAAUCCCUUGGCCGCGGGUUCGAGCCCCGCC